rnacentral:lncRNA from 1 species
UACCAACUGUAAACAAAUAGUGGAGGACUGGAAGAUUGGGUGGAGGGUCAAUAAGGAAAGUGAGAACCUGGUUAAGAGAGAUGAAAUUGCUCUACUUGUGCAGAGUUUUAUGGACCUUGGCAGCUACCACGGAAGAGAAAUGAGGAAAAAAGCAAUGGGAAUACGAAAGAUCUUUCAAGAGUCAAUUGAAAGUGGAUCCAUUCAAGGAAAUAUUAACAAGUUCAUUCGGGAUAUUUCUCGAGGCCCAAGUCAAUAAUGUUUGGUUAUAGAGAAGUUAUGCAGAUAUAGUCUGUAUGAACUAAAUAAAUAUAAAAAUUAUUUCUGUAAUAUGUUUCACUUGGGAAGAGUAUCCAACUCUUUAUUGAAUAAAACACAAACAAGCUAAGCGCUGCCAAUGUUUCUACCUACUGUUAUUCACAGGCAUCCUGCCGAUGUUUCGACAUGCUGCUUUUGUGGAGAAAGAAACUAGUAUCAACUACUUGAUACUGUAAUCUAAUCUGCAAUAUUAGAAAUUUGAUCAUUGCACACAACAAUAAUAUUGUGUGACUUCAUGUCACAGUGACUGAUUAUUCCUCUGUUGUGAAUGUGACUAAGCCCUAAAACAGCUUUCUUUGUGUAUUUUGCACUUCAAACUUGGAUAACAGUUGUUCUUGUGUCACUAUAUAGUAUUUCUCAACAUACUAACAACUCAUAUCUUUUUUAACUUUCCUGUGUCAGUGAUGGUUCAAAAUCACUGUGUGACUAUAGAUUAAGUAAAGGAAAAGGAAUUAGAAGAUACACAAGUAUAUUAUGUAUAAAAUAUUACCUUCAUACUUUUUCUAUUGAUUUGAUUAUGUUAACAAAUAUAUUAAGUACUUCUUCUAGAUAUACAAAAUUAUUAAAUUAAUUUUUUUUUAUAUAUUUUUAUUUAUGAUAACUAAAUAAGAUCUAAAUAUCAAAUAUUAAUAUACAUGUAUGAUAUAUAAUAGCACUUAAUUAUUAUGGAAAUAUCAUAAAAAACUUGCGGUAAGAAUGAUUAUUAAAUUAACUUUUUAUGUAUUUUUAUUUAUAAUAAGUAAAUAAGAUCUAAAUGCCAAAUAUAAAUAUACAUGUAUUCAAAGGCUAUUCAGGAUUUCGGAAGGAUGGGCGCACUAUUACGAAAAAAUACAAGAUAUAAAUUUAAUUGUUUUAGAAUAAUACUUCCUCUGUUUACUUUAACUUAUCCGGUAUACAAAAAUAUUUUUUCUCUUUGAUUUUAACUUUUAACUUUUCAAGAAAAUAUAAUUAUUUUUUUCAUAUUUCAUCUUUAAUAUUAAUUACUUAUUUCUUAAAUUAUUUUUGAAGACUUAAUAAUUAAUAGAAUAUUAUAGUUUUGAAUAUGCUAAAUCUGACGAGGUAUAACUAAAACGAAGGAGUAUUUCUUACUUAGGAGCACAACAUGAUAAGUAAGAAAGCAGUCAAAGUUGCUGCCCAACACAACCUUCGUCUUCACUGAUCAUCAAUCUGGUCAACUUUGUCAGUCCUAAAACCCUAGUUUUUCGCUUUUCCAAUUCAUAAAUAAAUGGAAACUACUCAACCUCUAUUUAGUUGCCAUAUAUUGGCGAUUCCAUAUCCAGGUAGAGGCCACAUCAAUCCUUUGAUGAAUCUGUGCAAGCUCAUAGCUACAACGUCCAAACCAAAUCAUCUACUACAAAUCUCUUUUAUUGUAACUGAAGAGUGGUUCAGCUUUUUGAAAUCAGAGCCAAAACCAGAUAAUAUUCAAUUUCAAACAAUUCCAAAUGUAAUUCCAUCAGAAAAGGAUCGAAGCAAAGAUUUGUUGGGGUUCGUGGAAGCUGUGUAUACUAAGAUGGAAGCUCCCAUUGAUAGUAUACUUGACGGGCUUCCGAAGCCCAAUGUGAUUUUAGCUGAUUCGUUAUUGCCGUGGGCCGUCGGUAUUGGGGAACGGAGAAAUAUUCCGGUGGCUUCAUUUUGGACCAUGUCUGCCACGGUUUUCUCCAUCCUUCAUCACCAUCAACUACUCUUGGCUAAUGGACAUUUUGAAGUCAAUUUGGCAGGUAUACUUGUUUUUAAGUUGUUAGAUUGAUGCCCUGUUUGAAUAUUGUUGGUUGAAGGACACAAUUGGUUGUCACAACUUUUUAUUAUAUUACAAUUUUGAUCACUCACUUGUUGCUUGCUUUAGCAAUACUCUUUACUUAACACUCACUAUUAUUUUCUUACUUGAUUACUUGGUUACAAUUCAAAUGAAUCACCUCUAUUUAUUGAUAGUGAUAGAAGAAUCUAGCUAAAGAUUUUUCUACUAUGUUCUGUUCUUCUAACUACCUAUUUUUAUAACUAUUUUUUUUAGAACAUUUCUAGACUUUUGUUUCAAGAAUAUGCAUUCUUGUAUUUCUUUACAACUCAUUAAUAUUCUAGAUUCUUCUUUGAAAUAUCUUGGAAAUUAAUUAAGAUGGUGAUCAAUUCUUAAUAUGCAUGUCAUGUAAUUGUAACCUUAACAGUUUGAUAUAACUGCAAACAUAUUUCCUUUCCACCGGGCGGUGUCGGCUGAGUUAGAAUUUUGCAUUAAAAAAAAAGAAAUAGUUUAUUAAGCUUUGAAAACAUUAUUAACAUAUAUUAAAACAACCGUGUAACAUGCAUAUAAAAUAUGAAUUAAAAUUAUUGGCUUCUUAAUGUCAAAAUUAGAUGUGUCAAAAAUGAGCUCAAUUAUAGGUAACCCGCUCAUAAUUUUAAGGGUUGGAUUCCAUCUCAACUCAUUCAAACUUUAGCUUAUUUUCAAAUAAUCCUCAAUUGAGCCUAAUUUAAUCUCCAAUUUCAACAUGUUUUAAGACUCUUUAUUUGCAUUGAUGUAAUGUAUGUACCUAUAUUAAAUGUAUGAAUUACUAUCUAUUUUAUAUCUUUUAGGAUUUAUCUAUUUAUUUUUAAGUUCUUUUUUAAAAUUUUCAUGAAUUAAAAUUCAAAUAGUGGUUAUAAAACUUAAAUAAGAAUGUAUUAAAAUUAUUGAGAUUAAGCGGAUCAAGAUUCAACCCGUUUUAAAGCCCAUUUGAGCUCAAAAUAAACCUGGGCGGGUCAGUAUCCAACCCAAUUUCUAUUUCUACCCAUUUUAAUAUUUUUGAUUUCAACCCAAUCCACCCAUUUGACGCGCCUACUCAUAAUGAACAGAACAAGGAGAAGAGCUUGUAAAUUACAUUCCGGGGAUUACACCAAUUUGUGUAAAGGAUCUCCCACCUGUGUUCCACUGCAAAUACCGGGAGAUGUUGCACUUGAUUCUUGAAGUUGUAUUACAGUUGGUCAAUAUAGCACAAUACGCCCUGUUCACCACCAUUGAACCAUUGGAAUCUCAAGUAAUUGAGGCUUUACAAGCUGAAAUUCCAGUCCCCAUUUUCACAGUUGGUCCAACAAUCCCUUACUUGGAUACCGAAUUCAAGACUAACCAGCCUUGUCCUAACUACUUGUCAUGGCUUGAUGAUCAACCUAAGGACUCUGUUCUAUACAUAUCCCAAGGAAGUUUCUUGUCAGUAUCAAAUACACAGUUAGAUGAAAUUAUAGCGGGUGCGCACAGCAGUGGUGUCCGUACAUUUUGGGUGGCACGUGAAACUUCUUCCUUACUUAUAACAGAUGGAAUUGGGAAGAGGGGAAUCGUGGUGCCUUGGUGUGACCAAUUGAGAGUUUUGUGCCAUCCUAGUGUAGGUGGAUUUUGGUCGCAUUGUGGAUGGAAUUCAACCAAGGAAGGUGUGUUUGCUGGCGUUCCGUUUCUUACAUUCCCCAUUGUGGCUGAUCAAUUUACCAACAGUAAACAAAUAGUGGAGGACUGGAAGAUUGGGUGGAGAGUCAAUAAGGAAAGUGAGAACCUGGUUAAGAGAGAUAAAAUUGCUCUACUCGUGCAGAGUUUUAUGGACCUUGACAGCUAUCACGGAAGAGAAAUGAGGAAAAGAGCAAUGGGAAUACGAAAUAUCUUUCAAGAGGCAAUUGAAGGUGGAGCCAUUCAAGCAAAUAUUUACAAGUUCAUUCAGGAUAU